rnacentral:rRNA from 1 species
UUACGGGACGCAGCAGUGGGGAAUAUUGCACAAUGGGCGCAAGCCUGAUGCAGCCAUGCCGCGUGUAUGAAGAAGGCCUUCGGGUUGUAAAGUACUUUCAGCGGGGAGGAAGGGAGUAAAGUUAAUACCUUUGCUCAUUGACGUUACCCGCAGAAGAAGCACCGGCUAGCUCCGGUGCCAGCAGCCGCGGUAAUACGGAGGGUGCAAGCGUUAAUCGGAAUUACUGGGCGUAAAGCGCACGCAGGCGGUUUGUUAAGUCAGAUGUGAAAUCCCCGGGCUCAACCUGGGAACUGCAUCUGAUACUGGCAAGCUUGAGUCUCGUAGAGGGGGGUAGAAUUCCAGGUGUAGCGGUGAAAUGCGUAGAGAUCUGGAGGAAUACCGGUGGCGAAGGCGGCCCCCUGGACGAAGACUGACGCUCAGGUGCGAAAGCGUGGGGAGCAAACAGGAUUAGAUACCCCCGUAGUC